GACGAACGCUGGCGGCGUGCUUAACACAUGCAAGUCGAACGGAAAGGCCCUGCUUUUGUGGGGUGCUCGAGUGGCGAACGGGUGAGUAACACGUGAGUAACCUGCCCUUGACUUUGGGAUAACUUCAGGAAACUGGGGCUAAUACCGGAUAGGAGCUCCUGCUGCAUGGUGGGGGUUGGAAAGUUUCGGCGGUUGGGGAUGGACUCGCGGCUUAUCAGCUUGUUGGUGGGGUAGUGGCUUACCAAGGCUUUGACGGGUAGCCGGCCUGAGAGGGUGACCGGGCACAUUGGGACUGGGAUACGGCCCAGACUGCUACGGGAGGCAGCAGUGGGAAAUAUUGCACAAUGGGCGGAAGCAGGAUGCAGCAGCGCCGCGUGCGGGAUGACGGCCUUCGGGUUGUAAACCGCUUUCGCCUGUGACGAAGCGUGAGUGACGGUAAUGGGUAAAGAAGCAACGGCUAACUACGUG
rnacentral:rRNA from 1 species